rnacentral:rRNA from 1 species
GACGAACGCUGGCGGCGUGCUUAACACAUGCAAGUCGAACGGAAAGGCCCUGCUUUUGUGGGGUGCUCGAGUGGCGAACGGGUGAGUAACACGUGAGUAACCUGCCCUUGACUUUGGGAUAACUUCAGGAAACUGGGGCUAAUACCGGAUAGGAGCUCCUGCUGCAUGGUGGGGGUUGGAAAGUUUCGGCGGUUGGGGAUGGACUCGCGGCUUAUCAGCUUGUUGGUGGGGUAGUGGCUUACCAAGGCUUUGACGGGUAGCCGGCCUGAGAGGGUGACCGGCCACAUUGGGACUGAGAUACGGCCCAGACUCCUACGGGAGGCAGCAGUGGGGAAUAUUGCACGAUGGGCGGAAGCCGGAUGCAGCAACGCCGCGUGCGGGAUGACGGCCUUCGGGUUGUAAACCGCUUUCGCCUGUGACGAAGCGUGAGUGACGGUAAUGGGUAAAGAAGCACCGGCUAACUACGUG